UACAGAGGGGGCAAGCGUUGUUCGGAAUUACUGGGCGUAAAGGGCGCGUAGGCGGCCUGUUAAGUCGAACGUGAAAUCCCCGGGCUCAACCCGGGAACUGCGUCCGAUACUGGCAGGCUUGAAUCCGGGAGAGGGAUGCGGAAUUCCCAGUGUAGAGGUGAAAUUCGUAGAUAUUGGGAAGAACACCGGUGGCGAAGGCGGCGACCUGGACCGGCAUUGACGCUGAGGAGCGAAAGCCAGGGGAGCAAACGGG
rnacentral:rRNA from 1 species